AUUGAACGCUGGCGGCAGGCCUAACACAUGCAAGUCGAACGGUAACAGGAAACAGCUUGCUGUUUCGCUGACGAGUGGCGGACGGGUGAGUAAUGUCUGGGAAACUGCCUGAUGGAGGGGGAUAACUACUGGAAACGGUAGCUAAUACCGCAUAACGUCGCAAGACCAAAGAGGGGGACCUUCGGGCCUCUUGCCAUCGGAUGUGCCAGAUGGGAUUAGCUAGUAGGUGGGGUAACGGCUCACCUAGGCGACGAUCCCUAGCUGGUCUGAGAGGAUGACCAGCCACACUGGAACUGAGACACGGUCCAGACUCCUACGGGAGGCAGCAGUGGGGAAUAUUGCACAAUGGGCGCAAGCCUGAUGCAGCCAUACCGCGUGUAUGAAGAAGGCCUUCGGGUUGUAAAGUACUUUCAGCGGGGAGGAAGGGAGUAAAGUUAAUACCUUUGCUCAUUGACGUUACCCGCAGAAGAAGCACCGGCUAACUCCGUGCCAGCAGCCGCCGUAA
rnacentral:rRNA from 1 species